CUUUGGAUAAUUGUCAUGAUUGCAGAGGACCUGUCUCAAGCCUCAAAUGGAUUGGUUUUACGUGUAAAUUAUGUUCAACCUCAUGGCACAAAACCUGCUUCAUCAAGAACAACGAGUCACCGAUGAAGGACAUCUGCCUUUCCAGUAAUGAAGGUUCCGUCAGUGAUAAAGACUACAUUCCUGAAACGGCGUCUAGCAGCGAUGGAUCCAGCGUCGAUGAAGACUGCCCACCUGACUCUGAAGCAAAUACUGAUUGGGAUCAUCUCAUUGCCACCAUCAGGGAUUCAAAGCCACCCCAUUGUAAGACUGCACCAACUGUCUCUACAAAGAACUAUGUUGAACACCAAGACACGGCUGCUACUACCUCUGACAAAUUCCAACUUCAUGAAGAUUUCAUCCCUGAUAUGGCAUCCAGUUCUGA